CGGUGCCGCGGGGUAUCCGACCCCCCUGGCGGUGCCUUAGGCUAACCGCGUUAAGGUGCCCCGCCUGGGGAGUACCGGUCGCAAGGCUGAAACUCCAAAGGAAUUGACCGGGGGCCCGCACAAGGCGGUGGAGCCAUGUGGUUUAAUUCGAUGCAACGCGCAGAACCUUACCCUGGGCUUGAACUGCAGGGGACCGCUCUGGAAACAGGGCUUCCCGCUUCGGCGGCCGCUGUGGAGGUGCUGCCAUGGCUGUCGUCCAGCUCGUGUCGUGAGAUGUUGGGUUAAGUCCCCGCAACGAGCGCAACCCCUAUUCUUAGUUGCCAGCGGAUCCAUGCCGGGAACUCUAGGGAGACUGCCCCCGGAAAUCGGGGAGGAAGGUGGGGAUGACGUCAAGUCCCUCCAUGGCCUUUAUGUCCAGGGCUACCACACGUGCUACCAAUGGGCGGUACAAAGGGUCGCGACGCCGCGAGGCUGAGCUAAUCCCAAAAAACCGUCCUCAGUUCGGAUUGCAGUCUGCAACUCGACUGCAU
rnacentral:rRNA from 1 species